rnacentral:tRNA from 1 species
GCCCCUAUAGUUCAACGGAUAGAAUACGACCUUGCGGAGGUUGUGAUCGGAGUUCGAAUCUUCGUAGGGGCA